UUCGUCAGCUGGCACAAACCGACCAGAGGUUAGUUUAAAAGAAGUAUCUUUACUGUCUUCCUGAACGUUCUCAAAAUGUUAAAGAACCUGUUGAUCCUGGGCUUGAUGAUCACUCCAAUCUUCGGCCAAGGUUGCGCCGGGGGUACCGGUACCGGUCAAGGCAGUGGCACCAACGGCUUUGGCUCCGGUUUUGGAAGAGGAUUUGGUUCGGGCACCGGACCUGGUGGUACCUACAGCGGCGGAGGUGUCGGAAGCGGUCGAGGCGGUGGCAUCAACGGUGGAUCUGGCUCCGGCUCUGGCACCGGCUCUGGCUUUGCCUGUGGCGGUGGCAAGCGCUAAUGUCGCAAUCAAUGUUGAAAGUUUUCAGAGGAAAAGCACAACUGUCACUUAAUGUUGCCGAAAACACGUCUCUUUAGCAAGGAUGGAAGAGUACAGACAUCUUUAAGCUCUGCAUCGCCAUUAACUGAUCGUAGCAGAUUCAACGCCUAUAAAGAUUUUGUGGCUUGGACUCUAAAAAGAUCUCGUUUGAAAAGGAAGAUUUAUGGGAUGCGCCUUCUAUUGUUCUCAGUUUAACCAAAAUUAAAUCAGCUGUCACCAAGUUUUAUGCUUUCUUAAAUAAAUAUUUUACCGCUUA
rnacentral:lncRNA from 1 species